GCGACCCCUUUGGCGGUCGAACGACCCUUUCACAGGGGUCACCUAAGACCAUGAUGCAUAUCAGGUAUUUACAUUACAAUUCAUAACAGUAGCAACACUACAGUUAUGAAGUAGCAACGAAAAUAAUUUUAUGGUUGGGUCACAACAUGAGGAACUGUAUUUAAAGGGCCAGAAGGUUGAGAACCACUGUGUUACAUUGUCUGUUUCUUCUUGGGGCCACUCCCAACCUAAUGAAUGAGAAUCUCAGGUGAGGGCCCAGGAAUGUGUCCUAGAGCAGGUGCUCCGGAUGUUUGAGUUGCUGGCAGAGUGGCAUCAGAUAAGGCUGGGGAGGCUGAGCCAGGUUGGUCAUUUAGCUAAGCAAGAAGGUGGCAACUCCACCUGGGCAGGAAGGAAGGCCCGGAGUCUGGGCAGUGAGAGCAGCAUGCCAAGGUUCUGCGCCUCCUGCCUGGCUUAGUUCUUUGGGUGGAUAACCAGCCACAAAGAGACUUAAGGUAUAAUGUGCUCCAGUUCUGGGAGAGGAAAGAGACGCAGACCUUGCUACUCCAGCGUGGUUUGCAAUCAGCAGCAUCAGUGUCCAUUGAAGGCAUGUUAGAAAUGCAGGCACUAGAGCAGCCGUGGGCAAACUACGGCCCGCGGGCUGGAUCCGGCCCAUUUGAAAUGAAUAAAACUAAAAAAAAAAAAAAAAAAAAAGACCGUACCCUUUUCUGUAAUGAUGUUUACUUUGAAUUUAUAUUAGUUCACACAAACACUCCAUCCAUGCUUUUGUUCCGGCCCUCCGGUCCAGUUUAAGAACCCAUUGUGGCCCUCGAGUCAAAAAGUUUGCCCACCCCUGCACUAGAGUCUACCCCAGACUUAUUACAUUUGAAUCUGCAUUUCCACCAAGUCCCCAGGUGAUUGAUAAGCACUUUGUAGUUUGAGAAGCACUGUACUGAGAGUACUGAGCUGUCCUCACAUGAAUGAGGUAGAAGGAUGAUCUUGAGUUACCUGAGAGUGACUAAAGUUUCCUGACAAGGACUUCUGCUUAUAAGGUCCCUGCAUGGGUGGCCAGAAAGGGUGAAUAUUUGUAUAUGUGGAGAGAGAAAUUGCCCACUACUUCUCUCCCCUGUUUUGCCAUCUGCUAGAGUGGCUAAAGGAGGCUUUUCCCCCAAAGUAUCUCCUCUACUACAUGUACCUGUAGGUCUGACCAUGUCCAAAGAACCUUUGAUGAAGUAAAUAAGAACUACACACAGCCAUUGAAAUGCUUCUGAUCCUCCAUCUUGAAGGAACGAUCACUUCAUUAGGAAAUUAAACCCAGGAAUCAGGCCAGGGAAGGGUAUUUUUGAGUGACCAGUGUUUGCUCAGCUCUACCAGGGUGGUAGAUGUGAUUCACUCUCACAGUGUCUCAUGCCUCAGAACUCUUGUGUAAAUGUGGGUGAGGAAGGAAAAUGGAAGUGGUGGGCUGAUGAGGGGCAUGAAAUGAUGAGGAAACUGCCCUAGGAAGGUAGGUUGUCUGCUAUCCAGUAAGGAUUGAGCCAGGUAGCCUGUUAGAUGUUGUCUCUGAGUAUAAGAAUUCAAAAGCAGGGGUUGCGGGCGUCUGUGUGAGGACCAGCACCUGCAGAAUUAUUUUCAUUGUAAACACAUAGUAUCAGGUGAAUAUCUAGUAUCAGGCUAAGCAAGAGGGAAGGAGCUUUAUGGUAUUACUAGAGGCCCAGUGCAUGAAUUUGUGCACAGAUGGGGUCUGGCCGGCCCGCCCCGAUCAGGGCCAAUUAGGCCAGACUGACCAGGGGGAGGAACUGCAGGUGGUUGGCGGGCCAACCCCGCCCCCGAUCAGGGUUGGGGAGGCCAAUUGGGGGCGGUGCUGGCUGGGGGAGGGGCCGUGGGCAGUUGGCCAGCCCCAUCCAGUUGAAUUCCCGGUCUGUCUCUCGGUCGAGGGGACAAUUUGCAUAUUAGCCUUUUAUUAUAUAGGAUUGUCUUUCCUGGAAAAGAAUGAUUUUUCUCUCUACCCUUUAGGGAUAUGAACUAUAAUACCUGUGACCAAGAUAAGCAAACUUUUAUGCUACUUCCUCAUUAAGUAAACUGUUUUCCAAACACUAUAAAUCACGGUCUAGCUGGAUCACU